rnacentral:rRNA from 1 species
UACAGAGGUCUCAAGCGUUGUUCGGAUUCAUUGGGCGUAAAGGGUGCGUAGGUGGCGCCAUAAGUCAGGUGUGAAAUCUCGGGGCUCAACCCCGAAACUGCACUUGAUACUGUGGUGCUCGAGUACUGGAGAGGAGAUUGGAAUUUACGGUGUAGCAGUGAAAUGCGUAGAUAUCGUAAGGAAGACCAGUGGCGAAGGCGGGUCUCUGGACAGUUCCUGA